rfam:Alligator mississippiensis ScZkoYb_149, whole genome shotgun sequence.
GGAAGUUGUUGUGCUGGACUGAAAAUGCUUGAUCAUGUCUGAUCUUGGAAAUUAAGCAAUUCUGGACCUGGGUAAUGUUUGAAUGGGAGACCACCUUGGAAUUCCAGGCACUGUAGACA